rnacentral:rRNA from 1 species
UGAGGAAUAUUGGUCAAUGGACGCAAGUCUGAACCAGCCAUGCCGCGUGAAGGAAUAAGGCCCUAUGGGUCGUAAACUUCUUUUGUAUGUGAGCAAUAAGGUCCACGUGUGGACCGAUGAGAGUAGCAUACGAAUAAGCAUCGGCUAACUCCGUGCCAGCAGCCGCGGUAAUACGGAGGAUGCAAGCGUUAUCCGGAUUCAUUGGGUUUAAAGGGUGCGUAGGCUGUUUGACAAGUCAGUGGUGAGAGCCCGGGGGCUUAACUCCGGAACUGCCGUUGAUACUGUUGAGCUGGAAUACGGAUGCCGUGGGAGGAAUGAGUAGUGUAGCGGUGAAAUGCAUAGAUAUUACUCAGAACACCGAUUGCGAAGGCAUCUCACGAAUCCGUCAUUGACGCUGAGGCACG